CACGUAAGGGGCGAGCGUUGUUCGGAAUUAUUGGGCGUAAAGGGCACGCAGGCGGUUAUACAAGUCCGAUGUUAAAGACCUGGGCUUAACUCAGGGAGUGCGUUGGAAACUGUAUGACUAGAAUCUUGGAGGGGGAGUCGGAAUUCCUAGUGUAGGGGUGAAAUCUGUUGAUAUUAGGAAGAACACCGGUGGCGAAGGCGGACUCCUGGCCGAAGAUUGACGCUGAGGUGCGAAAGCAUAGGGAGCAAACAGGAUUAGAUACCCUGGUAGUCUAUGCUGUAAACGAUGUGCACUUGGUGUUGGGCCGAUUAGGUUCAGUGCCGUAGCUAACGCGAUAAGUGCACCGCCUGGGGAGUAUGCUCGCAAGGGUG
rnacentral:rRNA from 1 species